GGGCGUAAAGCGCAUGCAGGUGGUUUGUUUAAGUCAGAUGUGAAAGCCCGGGGCUCAACCUCGGAAUUGCAUUUGAAACUGGCAAACUAGAGUACUGUAGGAGGGGGUAGAAUUUCAGGUGUAGCGGUGAAAUGCGUAGAGAUCUGAAGGAAUACCGGUGGCGAAGGCGGCCCCCUGGACAGAUACUGACACUCAGAUGCGAAAGCGUGGGGAGCAAACAGGAUUAGAUACCCUGGUAG
rnacentral:rRNA from 1 species